rnacentral:rRNA from 1 species
GUCUAUGGCCAUGCUACCCUGAACAAGCUCAAUCCCAUCUGAUCUCGGAAGCUAAGCAGGGUCGGGCCUGGUUAGUACUUAGAUGGGAGAUCACCUAGAAAGACCAGGUGUUGUAGGUG